rnacentral:rRNA from 1 species
AGAAUCAACGCUGGCGGCGUGCCUAACACAUGCAAGUCGCACGAGAAAGGGGAGCAAUCCCUGAGUACAGUGGCGCACGGGUGAGUAACACGUGAAUUAUCUACCUCCGAGUGGGGAAUAACUGAGAGAAAUCUUAGCUAAUACCGCAUAACACUUACGAGUCAAAGCAGCAAUGCGCUUGGAGAGGAGUUCGCGGCCGAUUAGUUAGUUGGCGGGGUAAUGGCCCACCAAGACGAUGAUCGGUAUCCGGCCUGAGAGGGCGCACGGACACACUGGAACUGAAACACGGUCCAGACUCCUACGGGAGGCAGCAGUGGGGAAUUUUGCGCAAUGGGGGAAACCCUGACGCAGCAACGCCGCGUGGAGGAUGAAAUCCCUUGGGAUGUAAACUCCUUUCGAUCGGGAAGAUAAUGACGGUACCGAGAGAAGAAGCCCGGCUAACUUCGUGCCAGCAGCCGC